rnacentral:tRNA from 1 species
GGGCGAAUAGCUCAGCUGGUAGAGCACCUGCCUUACACGCAGGGAGUCACAGGUUCGANCCCUGUUUCGCCCA